CUAAAUCCUCUUUCUUUCUUCUUUCUUUUCCUACAAAAAAAAAAAAUAUUCCCUCUCUCUUCUUUCAAUAAGAAGGUACCAACAUCUGUAAACUGGAUAAUGGACAUCAAGAACAGAAGAGAGCGCCGGAGGCAGCCUCUGUUGGCUGACCUGCGCGUCGAUGUUUCACUGGUGUCUUCGAAAAGUGGGUAAAGGAAAGAGGGAAUCAGCAGUGGCAGCGCGAAGCUUCGCCGGUGAGAUUCCGGCCAGAUCUGGGCGGUAGUGGCGCGGGGGAGAGAAAAGGGGAGCGAGGGUUGAUCGACGCGAGGAAGGGGAAGAAAAGACAAUGACAGGAUCUAGGGGUGCUGGCGUGGCGAUUCCGACAAGAAUCAGCCGGAAUAAACGCGAAAAUGGGUUCGUUUUAAUGGGAUGAUGAUUUUCCAGCGACGGGAAGGGAAGAGGGAAAGGGAGUGGUGCGGCGUUCCGGUGAAGGAAGCGGCGCCGGCGAAAUCCGUCUCACCCAUGUAACGAUUUCCGGCGUGUUUCGCCCCGGAGAGAUUCCAACAAAUUGCGGGUAAUGGGUGGUUGGUUUUCUUGACGGGACGAUGGUUUUGGCGAUACAUUUCGCUAGACAGAUCUAUUUUUCUCCCCUGUAUGAGCGAAGGAAAAAAGGAAAAAGACCUGUAUACAAGCGUUACAAAAUCAUCGUGGAUCCCUUUGUCAAUUACAUCGGAUUCAACCCAAAGGACCAGCGGCUCAGGCUCAUCAUCAUUAUCGUCCAAUUUGUGCCGACUAGGGUGUGCAUCGAUCGGUUAUAUGUUAUUGGUUCGGUUCAUCGAUUUUCGAUUUUUAAAUAUGUAAAUUCAAUAACCAACCAAUACGAUAUUUUCUUAUCAGUUUUUUAUCAUUA